rnacentral:rRNA from 1 species
CCUACUGGUGGCAGCAGUGGGGAAUAUUGCACCAUGGGGGAAACCCUGAUGCAGCGACGCCGCGUGAGUGAAGAAGUAGUUCGUUCUGUAACGCUCUAUCAGCCGGGACGAAAAUGACGGUACCUGAGUACGCAGCCCCGGCUAACUACGUGCCAGCAGCCGCGGUAAUACGUAGGGGGCAAGCGUUAUCCGGCUGUACUGGGUGUACAGGGAGCGUAGACGGCAGUGCAAGUCUUGAGUGAAAGGCGGGGGCUCAACCCCCGGACUGCUCUGGAAACUGUACGGCUGGAGUGCAUGAGAGGUAAGUGGAAUUCCUAGUGUAGCGGUGAAAUGCGUAGAUAUUAGGAGGAACACCAGUGGCGAAGGCGGCUUACUGGACUGUAACUGACGUGGAGGCUCGAAAGCGUGGGGAGCAAACAGGAUUAGAUACCCCAGUAGUC